AUUUCAUGUCUAAACCUCACUUACUAGAAAUUAUUGUGGAAGAAUCUUCUAAGAACUUGGCCAUGAUAUAUCCAAUUUACGCAUAAUAUCAGGAAAAAUGGAAACAAGUUUUGAGUGCUGCAAUGUCUUAUUUGUGGGUCCAAAGGUAUAGAAAGAAUAGGCAUAGGAGAAGAAAAUGUCAGAGGAUCUUAUUAUUUACUAAAAAAAUCCUCAUAAGUCAUGU
rnacentral:lncRNA from 1 species